ACUACGGGGGGCUGCAGUGAGGAAUAUUGGUCAAUGGGCGGAAGCCUGAACCAGCCAAGUAGCGUGCAGGAUGACGGCCCUACGGGUUGUAAACUGCUUUUAUACGGGAAUAACGCGCCUUACGUGUAGGGCUUUGCAUGUACCGUAUGAAUAAGGACCGGCUAAUUCCGUGCCAGCAGCCGCGGUAAUUCGGAGGGUCCGGGCGUUAUCCGGAUUUAUUGGGUGUAAAGGGAGCGUAGGCCGCAUGUCAAGCGUGCCGUGAAAUGUCCGGGCUCAACCCGGGCCUUGCAGCGCGAACUGGCGUGCUUGAGUCCGCGGAAGGCAGGCGGAAUUCGUCGUGUAGCGGUGAAAUGCUUAGAUAUGACGACGAACCCCGAUUGCGAAGGCAGCUUGCUGCAGCGGAACUGACGCUGAUGCUCGAAAGCGCGGGUAUCGAACAGGAUUAGAUACCCCAGUAGUG
rnacentral:rRNA from 1 species